CCUACGGGAGGCAGCAGUAAGGAAUAUUGGACAAUGGUGGCAACACUGAUCCAGCCAUGCCGCGUGCAGGAUGAAGGGCUACGCGUUGUAAACUGCUUUUGUACGGGAGAUAGUACCGUAAGAAUAAGCAUCGGCUAACUUCGUGCCAGCAGCCGCGGUAAUACGAAGGAUGCAAGCGUUAUCCGGAUUUAUUGGGUUUAAAGGGUGCGUAGGCGGACUUAUAAGUCAGUGGUGAAAUCUCGAUGCUUAACAUCGAACGUGCCAUUGAUACUGUAGGUCUUGAGUACAGAUGCCGUUGGCGGAAUGUGUCAUGUAGCGGUGAAAUGCAUAGAUAUGACACAGAACACCGAUUGCGAAGGCAGCUGACGAAACUGUACUGACGCUGAGGCACGAAAGCGUGGGGAUCAAACAGGAUUAGAUACCCUUGUAGUC
rnacentral:rRNA from 1 species